UCAUAUUUGGAUAUGGAGCUGACCUGGUGGCCAGUAGUUGAGAAGGAGCUAUGUCAGGAUCGGCGGCGUUAAAAUUAGAAAGCCGCCGCUUGGGCUGCCGCGCAAGUGGUUGUUGUGCCUUUGUGUCAACUCCCUAUAAAUAUAAAUAUUUGUUAGGUACGGUCACAAAAUCUUAGAUGUGAUACUAUAAUGGAUUGGUGGACCCACGUAUCUCUCUUUGUCUGUUGAUCUUCUCCCUUUGCGUGCUUUCAGAUCGGAUCUUUUAAACAAAAAUCAAAUGAAUCAGAAACAUCCACUUUGCCAGGUAAUUAAAGGAGAAAGAAACGGAAGGAGGAAGGAGAGCACAAUCUGCUUGGGAUUUGCUUUGAAACAGGCCUCGUUCGAAGAAAGGCUCGAUUCGCCUUGUGGUCGGAAUCCAAAUGGAAUCAGAUGGGAAAUCAAGCAUAGAUUUUCUUUCGCUUCGUCCUUUCAUUUCAGCGAGUGAAUCCGGGACUGGUAGAUCGCAGGGCUUUCGUCUUUCAAAGAAUAAAACCUAAAUUAUGCUCUAAUUAUACUUAGUUUGAGAAAUUUCUUGUUGGA